CAGUCGCCGCGGUAAUACAGAGGGUGCGAGCGUUAAUCGGAUUUACUGGGCGUAAAGCGUGCGUAGGCGGCUAAUUGAGUCGGAUGUGAAAUCCCCGAGCUUAACUUGGGAAUUGCAUUCGAUACUGGUUAGCUAGAGUGUGGGAGAGGAUGGUAGAAUUCCAGGUGUAGCGGUGAAAUGCGUAGAGAUCUGGAGGAAUACCGAUGGCGAAGGCAGCCAUCUGGCCUAACACUGACGCUGAGGUACGAAAGCAUGGGGAGCAAACAGGAUUAGAUACCCCUGUAGUCCCUGUCUUUUAUAC
rnacentral:rRNA from 1 species